UCGACGAUGAAUCUUCUAGCUUGCUAGAAGUGGAUUAGUGGCGCACGGGUGAGUAAUGCAUAGGUUAUGUGCCCUUUAGUCUGGGAUAGCCACUGGAAACGGUGAUUAAUACUGGAUACUCCCUACGGGGGAAAGUUUUUCGCUAAAGGAUCAGCCUAUGUCCUAUCAGCUUGUUGGUGAGGUAAUGGCUCACCAAGGCUAUGACGGGUAUCCGGCCUGAGAGGGUGAUCGGACACACUGGAACUGAGACACGGUCCAGACUCCUACGGGAGGCAGCAGUAGGGAAUAUUGCUCAAUGGGGGAAACCCUGAAGCAGCAACGCCGCGUGGAGGAUGAAGGUUUUAGGAUUGUAAACUCCUUUUGUUAGAGAAGAUUAUGACGGUAUCUAACGAAUAAGCACCGGCUAACUCCGUGCCAGCAGCCGCGGUAAUACGGAGGGUGCAAGCGUUACUCGGAAUCACUGGGCGUAAAGAGUGCGUAGGCGGGGUAAUAAGUCAGAUGUGAAAUCCUGUAGCUUAACUACAGAACUGCAUUUGAAACUGUUACUCUGGAGUGUGGGAGAGGUAGGUGGAAUUCUUGGUGUAGGGGCAAAAUCCGUAGAGAUCAAGAGGAAUACUCAUUGCGAAGGCGACCUGCUGGAACAUUACUGACGCUGAUGCACGAAAGCGUGGGGAGCAAACAGGAUUAGAUACCCUGGUAGUCCACGCCCUAAACGAUGGAUGCUAGUUGUUGCCUUGCUUGUCAGGGCAGUAAUGCAGCUAACGCAUUAAGCAUCCCGCCUGGGGAGUACGGUCGCAAGAUUAAAACUCAAAGGAAUAGACGGGGACCCGCACAAGCGGUGGAGCAUGUGGUUUAAUUCGAAGAUACGCGAAGAACCUUACCUAGGCUUGACAUUGAUA
rnacentral:rRNA from 1 species